rfam:Triticum aestivum genome assembly, contig: Triticum_aestivum_CS42_TGACv1_scaffold_578449_7BL
UAUGUACUCCCUCCGUUUCAAAAUACUUGACUUCUAUUCGUCCAAAAAUAGAUGUAUCUAUAUACUAAAACAUGUCUAGAUACAUCUAUAUUUUGACAAAUGAAAGUCAUGUAUUGUGAAACGGAGGGAGUAUAUU